GGGAGUUUGGCCGAGUGGUUCAAGGCGGUGGAUUUAAGCUCCACUGGACGCAAGUCCGCGUGAGUUCGAACCUCACAGCUCUCA
rnacentral:tRNA from 1 species